rnacentral:rRNA from 1 species
GAUGAACGCUGGCGGCGUGCCUAAUACAUGCAAGUCGAGCGAACAGACGAGGAGCUUGCUCCUCUGACGUUAGCGGCGGACGGGUGAGUAGCACGUGGAUAACCUACCUAUAAGACUGGGAUAACUUCGGGAAACCGGAGCUAAUACCGGAUAAUAUAUUGAACCGCAUGGUUCAAUAGUGAAAGACGGUUUUGCUGUCACUUAUAGAUGGAUCCGCGCCGCAUUAGCUAGUUGGUAAGGUAACGGCUUACCAAGGCAACGAUGCGUAGCCGACCUGAGAGGGUGAUCGGCCACACUGGAACUGAGACACGGUCCAGACUCCUACGGGAGGCAGCAGUAGGGAAUCUUCCGCAAUGGGCGAAAGCCUGACGGAGCAACGCCGCGUGAGUGAUGAAGGUCUUCGGAUAGUAAAACUCUGUUAUUAGGGAAGAACAAAUGUGUAAGUAACUAUGCACGUCUUGACGGUACCUAAUCAGAAAGCCACGGCUAACUACGUG